rnacentral:rRNA from 1 species
GACGAACGCUGGCGGCGUGCUUAACACAUGCAAGUCGAACGGAAAGGCCCUGCUUUUGUGGGGUGCUCGAGUGGCGAACGGGUGAGUAACACGUGAGUAACCUGCCCUUGACUUUGGGAUAACUUCAGGAAACUGGGGCUAAUACCGGAUAGGAGCUCCUGCUGCAUGGUGGGGGUUGGAAAGUUUCGGCGGUUGGGGAUGGACUCGCGACUUAUCAGCUUGUUGGUGGGGUAGUGGCUUACCAAGGCUUUGACGGGUAGCCGGCCUGAGAGGGUGACCGGCCACAUUGGGACUGAGAUACGGCCCAGACUCCUACGGGAGGCAGCAGUGGGGAAUAUUGCACAAUGGGCGGAAGCCUGAUGCAGCAACGCCGCGUGCGGGAUGACGGCCUUCGGGUUGUAAACCGCCUUCGCCUGUGACGAAGCGUGAGUGACGGUAAUGGGUAAAGAAGCACCGGCUAACUACGUG